UGUGUACACACAGCAUGACAAUUUAAAAAAUCAUUAAGGCAGGGGAAAGGCAUGUGCAUUGUAAAAAUGCUUGUGGCCUGCUGAACCAAGGCAUCUGC